rnacentral:rRNA from 1 species
AGCGUACACGGUGGAUGCCCUGGCAGUCAGAGGCGAUGAAGGACGUGCUAAUCUGCGAUAAGCGUCGGUAAGGUGAUAUGAACCGUUAUAACCGGCGAUUUCCGAAUGGGGAAACCCAGUGUGUUUCGACACACUAUCAUUAACUGAAUCCAUAGGUUAAUGAGGCGAACCGGGGGAACUGAAACAUCUAAGUACCCCGAGGAAAAGAAAUCAACCGAGAUUCCCCCAGUAGCGGCGAGCGAACGGGGAGCAGCCCAGAGUCUGAAUCAGUGUGUGUGUUAGUGGAAGCGUCUGGAAAGGCGCGCGAUACAGGGUGACAGCCCCGUACACAAAAAUGCACAUGCUGUGAGCUCGAUGAGUAGGGCGGGACACGUGGUAUCCUGUCUGAAUAUGGGGGGACCAUCCUCCAAGGCUAAAUACUCCUGACUGACCGAUAGUGAACCAGUACCGUGAGGGAAAGGCGAAAAGAACCCCGGCGAGGGGAGUGAAAAAGAACCUGAAACCGUGUACGUACAAGCAGUGGGAGCCUCUUUUAUGGGGUGACUGCGUACCUUUUGUAUAAUGGGUCAGCGACUUAUAUUCUGUAGCAAGGUUAACCGAAUAGGGGAGCCGAAGGGAAACCGAGUCUUAACUGGGCGUUAAGUUGCAGGGUAUAGACCCGAAACCCGGUGAUCUAGCCAUGGGCAGGUUGAAGGUUGGGUAACACUAACUGGAGGACCGAACCGACUAAUGUUGAAAAAUUAGCGGAUGACUUGUGGCUGGGGGUGAAAGGCCAAUCAAACCGGGAGAUAGCUGGUUCUCCCCGAAAGCUAUUUAGGUAGCGCCUCGUGAAUUCAUCUCCGGGGGUAGAGCACUGUUUCGGCAAGGGGGUCAUCCCGACUUACCAACCCGAUGCAAACUGCGAAUACCGGAGAAUGUUAUCACGGGAGACACACGGCGGGUGCUAACGUCCGUCGUGAAGAGGGAAACAACCCAGACCGCCAGCUAAGGUCCCAAAGUCAUGGUUAAGUGGGAAACGAUGUGGGAAGGCCCAGACAGCCAGGAUGUUGGCUUAGAAGCAGCCAUCAUUUAAAGAAAGCGUAAUAGCUCACUGGUCGAGUCGGCCUGCGCGGAAGAUGUAACGGGGCUAAACCAUGCACCGAAGCUGCGGCAGCGACGCUUAUGCGUUGUUGGGUAGGGGAGCGUUCUGUAAGCCUGUGAAGGUGUGCUGUGAGGCAUGCUGGAGGUAUCAGAAGUGCGAAUGCUGACAUAAGUAACGAUAAAGCGGGUGAAAAGCCCGCUCGCCGGAAGACCAAGGGUUCCUGUCCAACGUUAAUCGGGGCAGGGUGAGUCGACCCCUAAGGCGAGGCCGAAAGGCGUAGUCGAUGGGAAACAGGUUAAUAUUCCUGUACUUGGUGUUACUGCGAAGGGGGGACGGAGAAGGCUAUGUUGGCCGGGCGACGGUUGUCCCGGUUUAAGCGUGUAGGCUGGUUUUCCAGGCAAAUCCGGAAAACCAAGGCUGAGGCGUGAUGACGAGGCACUACGGUGCUGAAGCGACAAAUGCCCUGCUUCCAGGAAAAGCCUCUAAGCAUCAGGUAACAUCAAAUCGUACCCCAAACCGACACAGGUGGUCAGGUAGAGAAUACCAAGGCGCUUGAGAGAACUCGGGUGAAGGAACUAGGCAAAAUGGUGCCGUAACUUCGGGAGAAGGCACGCUGAUAUGUAGGUGAAGCGACUUGCUCGUGGAGCUGAAAUCAGUCGAAGAUACCAGCUGGCUGCAACUGUUUAUUAAAAACACAGCACUGUGCAAACACGAAAGUGGACGUAUACGGUGUGACGCCUGCCCGGUGCCGGAAGGUUAAUUGAUGGGGUUAGCGGCAACGCGAAGCUCUUGAUCGAAGCCCCGGUAAACGGCGGCCGUAACUAUAACGGUCCUAAGGUAGCGAAAUUCCUUGUCGGGUAAGUUCCGACCUGCACGAAUGGCGUAAUGAUGGCCAGGCUGUCUCCACCCGAGACUCAGUGAAAUUGAACUCGCUGUGAAGAUGCAGUGUACCCGCGGCAAGACGGAAAGACCCCGUGAACCUUUACUAUAGCUUGACACUGAACAUUGAGCCUUGAUGUGUAGGAUAGGUGGGAGGCUUUGAAGUGUGGACGCCAGUCUGCAUGGAGCCGACCUUGAAAUACCACCCUUUAAUGUUUGAUGUUCUAACGUUGGCCCGUAAUCCGGGUUGCGGACAGUGUCUGGUGGGUAGUUUGACUGGGGCGGUCUCCUCCUAAAGAGUAACGGAGGAGCACGAAGGUUGGCUAAUCCUGGUCGGACAUCAGGAGGUUAGUGCAAUGGCAUAAGCCAGCUUGACUGCGAGCGUGACGGCGCGAGCAGGUGCGAAAGCAGGUCAUAGUGAUCCGGUGGUUCUGAAUGGAAGGGCCAUCGCUCAACGGAUAAAAGGUACUCCGGGGAUAACAGGCUGAUACCGCCCAAGAGUUCAUAUCGACGGCGGUGUUUGGCACCUCGAUGUCGGCUCAUC